rnacentral:lncRNA from 1 species
UCUGAUAGACAGAAAACAGCUGUUUUAAAUCUCAGAAACAGGACUCUAAAGUCCUGGCUGGAAGAACUGUUUCUAAAUAUCCUUUCCCUUAAGGAACAACUUCCUGCAUUAAAAAAAAAACCCUGUGGAAAGUUUGUUGCUUUGCCCUGCUCCCCACGUGUUUUGUGAAAUUACAAAAUAUAUAUAUAAAAAUGGGUACUACAUUCUUUGACAAUUAUAUGGCAGCUGAAGAAGUAGGGGCAUUGAGGAAUGAAGGAUACCUCCAAAUUUUUAUAUUAAUAGGUACUGUCAUUUUUGUACUCCUCAAUACUAUAUUUAGAGAUGAAAAAAUAAAAAAUAUUGAGGAUAAAAUAAAACAAAAUGAGGAUAAAAUAAAACAAAAUGAGGAUAAAAUAAAACAAAAUGAGGAUAAAAUAAAACAAAAUGAGGAUAAAAUAGAAAAUAUUGAGGAUAAAAUAGAAAAUGUUGAGGAUAAAAUAGAAAAAAAUGAGGAUAAAAUAGAAAAUAUUGAGGAUAAAAUAGAAAAAAUUGAGGAUAAAAUAGAAAAAAUUGAGGAUACAAUAGAAAAAAUUGAGGAUAAAAUAGGAAAUAUUGAGAAUAAAAUAGAAAAACUUGAGGAUAAAAUAGGAAAUAUUGAGAAUAAAAUAGGAAAUAUUGAGGAUAAAAUGGGAGAUAUGGAAGAUAAAAUAGGAAAAAUUGAGGAAAAAAUGCAAGCCCAAUUAGAAGAUCUAAAAUGUUUCUUACAGGAUCAAUGGGCAAACACCCACUCUACCAGAAACAGACCUGUUUCUGAACCUUUGAAUGAGGAAAUUUCCUUCCCUGAAAUAGAGAUGGAAAACACCUUCCCUAUAGCCCAGUUAACAGACUGCUUCUCUCGUGUAGUGCAAAUCUUGUCUGAAUUUAAUCCCCAAAACCCUUCCCCUGCAAUCCCAGCUUCUCAUGUUCCUUCUCCUACAGAAAACCAAAUUCCAAUGCAAGGGAGAUCUUGUCCUCCUAGAGAAACCUGUCCUUGUCAAACUGACCCACAGGUGCAAAAUUCAACUAGAGGCCUGUUUCCUCUAAGAGAAGUACCUGAAAUAGGACGAAAUGGGGAUGUGGUGACUUUAAGACAUAGGAUACCGUUUACUCCCCAAGAAAUAAAUGAAUUUACACGAAAUAUCCCCACAUAUGAACAAGAUCCUUUUCUAGUAACAAAAAAGAUGGGAGACAUAUUUUUUCAAUAUAAUCCGUCUUACAAGGACGUUGAGAGCUUACUACAGGCUUUUUUAAGUGAACGUGAAAAAAAUAAAAUAAUUGCUCAUGUCAACAAAACCCGGGGGCGUAAUGCAGCACAUUGGCCAUCUCAGGAUCCCGAAUGGGACUAUAAUAAUCCUGAGGACUAUCUACAACUAUACCGUUGUAGAGAGGUCAUCCUCACGUCCAUGAAGGAAUGUGCAGACAAUACAGAUAAGUGGAUGGAACUGGAAAAAAUAAGCAAAAGGCCGAAGAA